GGCUCCUAAUGAAAGAAUAUGAAGUGAAAUUGGUAAAAUUUUUAAAGGCCAGGACCCGUUGAGGUGACCCAUACCGAUUUUCAUAGCUUGUCGCAAACAGCUGAAAUUCGGAACUGUGAUACUUAAUGGCUUCUCAUGAAAUUAUAUGAAGUCAAAGAGGAACAAAAAGUAGCCAGAGGGGUACCCAUACCGAUUUCUAAGAGUUUAUAUAUUCAGAUAAAAUUUAGUGCGGAGUCGAAAAAAAAGUUAGAAUUAAAAUAUAGGAGGGUUGAAUUUCGAAAUUUUUAUACGAACAGCCUCUACUGCUCGUGGUAUUUGGUUUGGUGCCAAGUAAUACUACCAAGUGACGUUAAGUUAAUGCAAGAAUUAGUGAAAAAUGGUACAACAUUCUGACAAACAUGGGUUUGCUAAUCAAUCCUGGUUCGGGCUAAGCAAAGCUGUACAGAUAUGUUGGAAUUUCCGUAAAUAAUCUCUAUAAAGCUGGAGUUUUUUGGGGCUAGUAUAUUACGAUCAAGUAUUUAUUAUCAAUAGCAAAUAUUUGACCUAAACUUUUCUCAAACUUAUAAACAUGUGCAGAUAGUGAAGAAGUAAGUCGAGCGUUCUCUGGGGCAGUAUUGGCAUUGUGAAAAACCUAUCAGUACAGCCUGUACUGAUAGGUUUUUCACAAUGAAAUUUUCUAUACAAUUGUGAUACUAUUUUGCACUAAUUCUUACAUAACUCAUAGAAAUCGGUAUGGGUCACCCCCUCUGGGGUGACUUUAACUUAUAGUUGCUUUUUGUUCGUAUUUGACUUCAUAUUAUUUCAUGAGAAGCCAUUAAGUAUCACUGUUUUGAAUUUCAGCUUUUUUCCGACAAGUUCUGAAAAUCGGUAUGGGUCACCCCAACGGGUCCCGGACGAUGAAAAUUUUACCAAUUCACUUCAUAUUCUUCCAUUAGGGGCCAUAAGCAGCCUUUAUACAAAAUUUCAGCUCGAUUGGAUGAUUUUGAAAAAUCGGUAUUGGUCAUACCCUCUCCGGUACUUCCGGUUGAAAAAUUUUCCAAUCUCGCUUUAUAUUCUUCUAUUAGGAACCAUUAGCACGCUCCGUGCCAAAUUUCAGCUUUCUAUCACAAUUUUGAGAUUUAGGUGCCUAAUACCCACUGGUCCAAAUAUGACCCCCACCGGUCCAAAUCUUUUCUCAUCGAACCCCAUCUUCGAACUCGGUCGUUGCAUAUACAUGUCUGCACCAAAUUUGGUUAAAAUCGGUCAACUCGUUCGAAAGUUAUCGAAAGACAGACGGACAUGACGAUCACAUAAGCCCUGGUUCGGGCUAAAAAAAAUUACACGACUUUGAUGUGCUCGGGCGGACAAUUUUGUUUUUGGAAUUACACGACUUUGAUGUGCUUGGGCGAUAGAUUUUGUUUUUGAAAUCACACGACAUUGAUGUACUUGGGCGCAUGGUUACCGUACAAGAAUUACACGACUUUGAUGCACGAUUGCUUGACAUUUAGUAUCUAGCGACGUUUUGUGCAGCACAUGACAUUCAUGUGCUUGGGAGGCAACUGGUUAAUGAAAAUCAUAGUUCUACAUUAAAACUAAAAUGUACAAACAAUCAAAAUAAUAUCGAAUGAAUUAGAAUGCGAACGCUGAACAUGAUGUAAUUUACAAUCAUAAAUUAUGAUUCAUAGUAGAAAAUUAAAUGACUCUUGACUUUACUAUUAAUUAUUAAUGACGUCGAUAUGUUAGUAUAUUUUUGAGAUUAAACAAAUAGAUAAAAAUAUGACCGAAAUAAAUAAAUAUAAUAUAUUACUCUCAUCUCA